UGUUAACGACACAAUUGUUCAGACAAAUGAUAACACAACUAUCACAAAUAUGAGGACUGCUAUCACGGACACAAAUGUUGUCCUGAACAUGGCCAUUAAACCUGGAAUCAUACUCAUUCCAUCAAGGUUGAUUAUUCUUGAGAAACCCAUACCUGGCUAAAAAAACGUACUCUCAAGUCCAACAAAAACCACAAUAUUUGGAAUAAAAACAAACUCAACUAUGUGUGUGUUACAAGCGCUGUUAAGCCUAAGAAGGAACAUCAACCUGAUUCC